ensembl:lncRNA
UCUGAUCAUGCACACAGUCCCUCUUCUCUGCCUGACUGCUCUAAGCACCUCUGCACUGAUAACUUGUCUUCCUAUACAAAAGGAAACAAUCCAAACAGAUUUAACAAGAGAAAAUCUGAGCAAUAUGGAGACCAUGAUCAGUACAUACGGAUAUUUCCUGAUGAUGAAAUUUAGUAAAAGAAUGAGGAAAGCCAUUUAUCAAGAGUCCAAAGGAGCUGCUUUACUGAAGAAAAGAAGCAAGGACUGCUUCUUACUACUUCAUAUUAAAACAAAUAAUAUAAUGUGCUCGGAUGCAACUAAAAACACAUAUAUUUCAGUUGAUGGCAUUAAUAAGGACUGCUUUAAACCAGUUCACGGAAAGAAUUCCCAUCAUGCUUUGUGUCCAUGGAGGAGUGAUGCAAUGAUCAAGCUAGUUGGUGGUAAAAGCCACACUGAGGCUUAUAAUGCAGAAUUACAUCAUUCUCAGCAGUCAAACAACCAUAAAACACUUCGCAGACAGAGAAGAAGCCAGUAUAUUGACCCAUCUGAUCCCUUGGGAUCUGAGAAUCCGAGGUCAAGGACUGCUAAUUAUCGAAGUCCAAAUCGAGAGCAUGAGCACGAGCGCAGCAGUAAUGUUUCUAAAGAAACCAUCACUUCCUAUGAUGACCCUUUACACGUACUCCUCUCCAAGAGCCCUGUCAGUCCAAACUUACAAAAACAGAAGAAACACAAGCAAGUUGCACCAUCUGAUCCAUUCUGAACAAAUUACUGACCUCAUUAACGAUUUUAUAAGCCUUGCAC